rnacentral:rRNA from 1 species
UACGAAGGGGGCUAGCGUUGCUCGGAAUCACUGGGCGUAAAGCGCACGUAGGCGGAUCCUUAAGUCGGGGGUGAAAUCCUGGAGCUCAACUCCAGAACUGCCUUCGAUACUGAGGAUCUCGAGUCCGGGAGAGGUGAGUGGAACUGCGAGUGUAGAGGUGAAAUUCGUAGAUAUUCGCAAGAACACCAGUGGCGAAGGCGGCUCACUGGCCCGGUACUGACGCUGAGGUGCGAAAGCUAGGGGAGCGAACAGG